rnacentral:lncRNA from 1 species
GAGGCGUAUUAUAUUUAAAACAAAAUUACAGAAUACAUUUAAAAAUUCAAUAUAAUAUUAUAAUAUAAUUGUUUAUCAACAUAUAAUAUAUUAGAGUUAUUUUAAGUUUCCUUUGAGGUAAUUCGCUGGUUUAUUGUUCCCUAUUUUUAGUCUGGUGGUAAUAAACUAAUUAUAAUAUGUAUUUUCUAAUACAUGCACUUGUACACAAACACAGACUUGCCAUCAAUUUUGUUAAUGACAAACAGUUUAGUGUAGUCUCUAUUAAAGGACAUAGCCCCAGAACGAGAGUCAAGUCCAUGGUUUUUGUUCGGAACCUCUUCCAUGGAUGUCCAGUCCAG